rnacentral:rRNA from 1 species
UCCGUAGGGGGCAAGCGUUGUCCGGAUUUAUUGGGCGUAAAGAGCGUGUAGGCGGCCAGACAGGUCCGUUGUGAAAACUCGAGGCUCAACCUCGAGAUGUCGAUGGAAACCGUCUGGCUAGAGUCCGGAAGAGGAGUGUGGAAUUCCUGGUGUAGCGGUGAAAUGCGCAGAUAUCAGGAAGAACACCUAUGGCGAAGGCAGCACUCUGGGACGGUACUGACGCUGAGACGCGAAAGCGUGGGGAGCAAACAGG